rnacentral:lncRNA from 1 species
GCGGCCCACUCGCUUUUUCACUUUUCCCUUCUGUUAUUUAAAAAUCUACACUUUGCUCUUUUAAAAAAUAAAAAAUGUUCACUUCAGCCCCCACCCUCAGUUGUUCCGUUAGGGUUUCGCUUAUAUCUCAUUUUUGUACCCAAAAUAUUCCUGAAACCUUCGUCCAUAUCCACAUACAUGCCUUCAGCUGCUGCCUCAUUCUCGCCCACCCUUCUGUUCAUGCCCAGACACACGCCUUCGCCCUCCUUCACCGUCGGGACGAGCAAGAUUGGGGAGGGGGAGAUGAAGAAGAUGAGGACAAUUUGAUCAUUUUAUCACACUGUAUCCCUCGUGAAUAUAUUUUUUUUUCAAAAAUAACAAAGUGUAGGUUUUUGAAUAAUAUGAGGAAAGUGAAAAAACGUAUAUUGAUUGAAAAAUUUUAUAUAAUUUAGCCUAAUAUUUAUGUCAUAACAAAAUUUUAUAAAUUUUUAAUGUAAACAUAGAGAAGU